rnacentral:rRNA from 1 species
AUGAACGCUGGCGGCGUGCCUAAUACAUGCAAGUCGAGCGAACGGACGAGAAGCUUGCUUCUCUGAUGUUCGCGGCGGACGGGUGAGUAACACGUGGAUAACCUACCUAUAAGACUGGGAUAACUUCGGGAAACCGGAGCUAAUACCGGAUGAUAUUUUGAACCGCCUGGUUCAAAAGUGAAAGACGGUCUUGCUGUCACUUAUAGAUGGAUCCGCGCUGCAUUAGCUAGUUGGUAAGGUAACGGCUUACCAAGGCAACGAUGCAUAGCCGACCUGAGAGGGUGAUCGGCCACACUGGAACUGAGACACGGUCCAGACUCCUACGGGAGGCAGCAGUAGGGAAUCUUCCGCAAUGGGCGAAAGCCUGACGGAGCAACGCCGCGUGAGUGAUGAAGGUCUUCGGAUCGUAAAACUCUGUUAUUAGGGAAGAACAUAUGUGUAAGUAACUGUGCACAUCUUGACGGUACCUAAUCAGAAAGCCACGGCUAACUACGUG